GACGAACGCUGGCGGCGUGCUUAACACAUGCAAGUCGAACGGAAAGGCCCUACUUUUGUGGGUUUCUCGAUUGGCGAACGGGUAAGUAACACGUGAAUAACCUACCCUUGACUUUGGUAGAACUUCAGGAAACUAGAGCUAAUACCGUAUAGGAUCUCCUGCUGCAUGGUAGGCAUUGGAAAUUUUCGGCGGUUGGGGAUGGACUCGCGGCUUAUCAGCUUGUUGGUGGGCUAGUGGCUUACCAAGCCUUUGACGGGUAGCCAGCCUGAGAGGGUGACCGGCGACAUUGGGACUGAGAUAGGGAGCAGACUGGUAUGGGAGGCAGUAGUGGGGAACAUUGUCCAGUGGGAGGAAGUCUGAUGAAGAGACGUUGCGUGUGGGAUGACGGUUUUUGGGUUGAAAAAAGCUGCAGCCUGUGACGACGCGGUAGUGACGGUAAUGGGUAAAGAAGCACCGGCUAACUACGUG
rnacentral:rRNA from 1 species